rnacentral:rRNA from 1 species
AAUCAACGCUGGCGGCGUGCCUCAGACAUGCAAGUCGAACGAUUAAAGCUCCCUUCGGGGAGUGCAUAAAGUGGCGCACGGGUGAGUAACACGUAAGUAAUCUACCUCUGAGUGGGGAAUAACGUCCGGAAACGGACGCUAAUACCGCAUAACGCAGCGGCACCGCAAGGUGACAGUUGUUAAAGAUUUAUCGCUUGGAGAGGAGCUUGCGGCAGAUUAGCUAGUUGGUAAGGUAAUGGCUUACCAAGGCUACGAUCUGUAACCGGUCUAAGAGGACGGUCGGUCACACUGACACUGAACAACGGGUCAGACUCCUACGGGAGGCAGCAGUCGGGAAUUUUGGGCAAUGGGCGAAAGCCUGACCCAGCAACGCCGCGUGAAGGAUGAAGUAUUUCGGUAUGUAAACUUCGAAAGAAUGGGAAGAAUCAAUGACGGUACCAUUUAUAAGGUCCGGCUAACUACGUGCCAGCAGCCGCGGUAAUACGUAGGGACCAAGCGUUGUUCGGAUUUACUGGGCGGUAAA